UGAGGUCCAAGACGCGGUGGGAGAAGCUGCAAAGAGCCGGGUGUCCGAAUCGCAGACUCCCCCUCCACCUAGCUGCACCUUCCCAACCAGGGGCAGUUCUGAGAGGCUCACUGUCCAGGAGGCAACAAAGUCUUGGAAAGAUGCCACGACACCGUGGCUUUCCAGCUGCUUCAGGGCAGGAAAACUUCCUGGCCAGUAAAUACCGGACUGUGGAUUUCUAAGGAGAGGAGUGUUGUUUCUGUGGAAAUAUGAGCGACGUGUCAAAUUCCACCUCGUCUUUGCUCUAGCUGUCCUCGCCACCUGGAGUGCCUCUCCCACCCUCACUUCCACGAAUGGAAAGCUGUUCUCCGAGGCUCUGCUCAAAUACCUCUAAGGACGCGCCCGCCAGAUCGCCUCACCUGGAGGUCCUCUUCCCCGGAACUUGCUCAAACCUCACAGCUUUGGAGAGACUGGCCUCAACUGGAAGGGACCGCCAGACGGAGACUGAGGAUGACGCCCUGGGAAACGUGUAGACAGGGCAUGAAUGCGGAUUACGUGGAGAGCGGCCUUGCGGAACCCCGAGGCGGCAGCGAGAGGAGUUGAUGCCCUUGGCCCUGGAAAGAAAGAACAGCGAGUUGGGAGGAGAGAGAGGCGGGGCUCUGGGGGGGGGAGCGGAAAUACAGCUGGGAGGCAGCUCCUGGGGCCACCAGGGAGGCUGGGACGAGGGUCCCUCCACGUGCUCUGGGGGAGACCGAGAAAGAUCAUCUGUGGUUAGGCCCUGGCUCCUUGAAACCAUUCCUUGGUCGCUGGAGCCUUUUGGCUUUAAGACUUGAAAGUGUGGACGCUGCUGGCUGAGGCCGUGGUCUCUACAAAGGGCCCGCCAGUCCACCAAGGGAGGAGUGUGCCUGGUAUUGCGGUGGAUCCGAAACGCAAACAUCCAGAGGUGGGGUGAGUGCGCAGCGCUGCAGGGUGGGGGACUUGGAGUGGACGCGUGCUGCGCGUCCCGCUGCUAGUGAGAGGAGCUGAAGGAAAGCACGCUCUAGUCUCAGUCCCCUACCCUGCCGCCAACUGCAAGGCAAAACCCGUCGCAGAGAAAUGCGUCUGUUCCUACCCGAUCUCCACCUUUCUUAGCUUUCAAGUAAUUUCAAGAUCUGGACCAAAGAAAAGAUAAACGCCUUUGCUUCUCUCUCUCUAUUUUUUUCUUGCUUGGUUUCUUGUUUGCUAGGGAUGCUUCGGCCUCGCUUAAACUUUGCCUCAGAACCCUGUCUGGGUGAACCCCCCCAACCCCACCUCUCUGUCCAACGCCUGCAACUCAGUGAUACACCCACACACCUGCUGCGGCCGAGAAGGCACACUAUGGCCUCUUCUCUCUGCCCACGGACCCGCAGAUGCUGGCUGCUCCUUACCUGCAGGGGUCUCCUCCAAAUCCCUUUGCCGCCACAACCUGGUCAAGAAUCCUCAAAACACACCUGGACAGCUCUUCUCUCUUGAGGAUCCAGGCCAACUUGCUUCAGAGCAGGCUGGACAGGAUCGGGCCUGUAAAGACUCUCUUUGAACGCGCCAACCUGUGCCAUCGGUGGCCUAACUAAGUCACCUUUCCCACCCCCAUCAGGGCACACCGCUGAUCCAGCGCACUGGCCACUUCCACCCAUCCUUUGAUUUCUACCGUUGAUCUUUGAUUUAUUUCCCUUUCCAAAUUGUCUAGUGUUGACUUACACUGGUUUCUAAGUAGAGGGUACCCAACAAGGAUCCCAGGCAGGCCAAUCCCAUCCAAAUGACCUCCCUUUCCCGCGUCAGCGGCGGGCACCUGAAGACCCCCCCCCCCCACACACACACAGCCUGAGCGCUGCCAAGUAUGAGCCGCCUAGGGCAGAAAAACUGCUUAUCGGGCACAGAAUCUAGUUCCACUUGUAUCCAGUUACUAGUAUGUUCUGGGGCAUUUGUAUUCUCUUGUCUGAAAAGAUCUUAGAAAUCUUGGAUCUGUGCUCAAUUAACAAUAGGUUUUCCUAUCAGACAGCUCAGCCAUUACUGUCAGAUAAAGUAAAUACGAUUAUGCAGCUUGGUGUUAGUCUCUAUGUCUGCCUGGGUUCACCUCCAUCACCUCGAACAUUUCACAAGCCCCUCCCAGGGGAUAUUUGAUUACAGAUCUUGCUGUAGUGGUGGCAAAUUUCCUGGGGGGUGCUUUAUAGAGGCAUAUAUACUAAAUAAAGUUAUACCUCAUGUUAACCAUUACAAUAAAUGCCUUACCAACUUAAAAUGUAA